CUCGGAGUUUGAUCCUGGCUCAGAUUGAACGCUGGCGGAAUGCUUUACACGUGCAAGUCGAACGGUAGAGGGGGCAACCCCUUGAGAGUGGCGAACGGGUGAGUAAUAUAUCGGAACGUGCCCAGUCGUGGGGGAUAACGUAGUGAAAAUUACGCUAAUACCGCAUACGAUCUAAGGAUGAAAGCGGGGAUCGCAAGACCUCGCGCGACUGGAGCGGCCGAUAUCAGAUUAGGUAGUUGGUAGGUAAAGGCCUACCAAGCCAACGAUCUGUAGCUGGUCUGAGAGGACGACCAGCCACACUGGAACUGAGACACGGUCCAGACUCCUACGGGAGCAGCAGUGGGGAA
rnacentral:rRNA from 1 species